rnacentral:tRNA from 1 species
GUACGGGGGGUUUUGGGCCUCCGGGUGCAGGUUCGUUUCCUGUCUUUCUAGGA